rnacentral:rRNA from 1 species
AUUGAACGCUGGCGGCAUGCCUUACACAUGCAAGUCGAACGGCAGCACGGGAGCAAUCCCGGUGGCGAGUGGCGAACGGGUGAGUAAUAUAUCGGAACGUGCCCAGUAGUGGGGGAUAACUGCCCGAAAGAGCAGCUAAUACCGCAUACGACCUGAGGGUGAAAGGGGGGAUCGCAAGACCUCUCGCUAUUGGAGCGGCCGAUAUCAGAUUAGCUAGUUGGUGGGGUAAGGGCCUACCAAGGCAACGAUCUGUAGUUGGUCUGAGAGGACGACCAGCCACACUGGGACUGAGACACGGCCCAGACUCCUACGGGAGGCAGCAGUGGGGAAUUUUGGACAAUGGGCGCAAGCCUGAUCCAGCAAUGCCGCGUGCAGGAAGAAGGCCUUCGGGUUGUAAACUGCUUUUGUCAGGGAAGAAAUCCUCUAGGUUAAUACCCUUGGGGGGAUGACGGUACCUGAAGAAUAAGCACCGGCUAACUACGUGCCAGCCGCCGCAGUAACAC